UACAGAGGUCCCAAGCGUUGUUCGGAUUCAUUGGGCGUAAAGGGUGCGUAGGCGGCGCGGUAAGUCGGGUGUGAAAUCUCGGAGCUUAACUCCGAAACUGCAUUCGAUACUGCCGUGCUUGAGGACUGGAGAGGAGACUGGAAUUUACGGUGUAGCGGUGAAAUGCGUAGAUAAUCGUAAGGAAGACCGAGUGGCGAAGGCGGGUCUCUG
rnacentral:rRNA from 1 species